UGGGGAAUAUUGGACAAUGGGCGAAAGCCUGAUCCAGCCAUGCCGCGUGUGUGAAGAAGGUCUUCGGAUUGUAAAGCACUUUAAGUUGGGAGGAAGGGCAUUAACCUAAUACGUUAGUGUUUUGACGUUACCGACAGAAUAAGCACCGGCUAACUCUGUGCCAGCAGCCGCGGUAAUACAGAGGGUGCAAGCGUUAAUCGGAAUUACUGGGCGUAAAGCGCGCGUAGGUGGUUUGUUAAGUUGGAUGUGAAAUCCCCGGGCUCAACCUGGGAACUGCAUUCAAAACUGACUGACUAGAGUAUGGUAGAGGGUGGUGGAAUUUCCUGUGUAGCGGUGAAAUGCGUAGAUAUAGGAAGGAACACCAGUGGCGAAGGCGACCACCUGGACUAAUGCUGACACUGAGGUGCGAAAGCGUGGGGAGCAAACA
rnacentral:rRNA from 1 species